rnacentral:lncRNA from 1 species
UUCAUUUAAUUCAGCCUUGUAACAUGCUCAUCUACAUCAACAGGCUUGCCCUCUUUAGCAAGGGCCUCAGCUUUGUUUCAUUUAGCCUUAAAGUAGGCUUCAUCUACAUCAAUCGCAACUUGCCCUAUUUAGCAAGGGCUUUGCCUUUGUUUAAUUCGGCAUUGCAAUAGGCAUCAUCUAUAUCAACAAGUUUGCCCAUUUUAGUAAGUGCCUCGCCUUCGUAUAAUUCAAACUUAAAAUAGGCUUCAUCUACAUCAAUAGGCUCGCCCUCUUUAACGAAGGCAUCAACUUCAUUUAUUCAGCCUUAUAGCAGGCUUCAUCUAUAUCAACAAGCUUGCCCUCUUUAGCACAGGCCUCACUUUCGCUUAACUCAACCUUACAGCAAGCUUCAUCAAUAGAUUCACAGAUCACACGACGUUACAUCUCAACUUAAAAGUCCACUUAUUACAUAAAUAACUAUACAUGGAUUUCAAGGACUAUUGAGCUAUGCUAGUUUUUCUUCACAAAACCCUCAACUUAAAAGUCCAUACAUUAUAUAAAUAAUCAUACAUGGAUUAUUGUUAUGCCUCACUUUAUAAGGCCCCAAAUAUCUUACGUGGCAAGCAAACAUGGAGCCUCAAACCACAUCAAAUUAUCACAAGGCUAUUCUAACCAAACCCUGGGUGGCCAAACCAAUAUGUUUAUCGAUUCAACUAGAUUAUACUGACCCAAUGGGGGAAGAAUCGAAAUAUGGAGGGAGACGAGGCCACCAAAGAAGUUUAGCACAAGACCUUUCAAGCGAUCUUCUAUAUGUGAUUGAUACGACAAUUCACUCAAGCUAUCGCCAUCACCAUCCCAUUAGGUCAAGUCUAAGGCUACAAGUUAGACAUUAUGGAUGACAAAAUGAUAUUAGUAUUUUAUGCUUAUAAUUGACUGAUGUCUCCAACAAGAGGCAUUAGCUAAAUGGAUGAGGCCACGUGCCUCUUUAUCCAACGGCUCCUACUCACCUUUUUCUACUAUAAAACUCAUACUUAAUGUCAUUUUAAAGGUAAUGCAAGUUUAGAUUCUCAAGCCAUAACUUUGUCAUAAAUCAUUCCUCAAAGUCCUUUUCUUUACAUUAGAGGUUCACGUCUAAAACUCUCCUAUACUUAUAUACUUACUUCCCAAAUUUACUUGAUUGUCGAAGUGCGUGCGGCCAACUCUACCCCAACUGGAGAAGCCAUGUACAACUAAUUAUUUGUCCAACUAUGCAUGAAUUAGGUUUGCGUGGAUGUGAAAAGCCUUGGAAUCUAUUGGCUACGAUGAAAGUACAAAAUCA